rnacentral:lncRNA from 1 species
AAGGGAGCAAGUUUCAAGCAAACGACACCCAAGGGACUAAAGGAUAUUGGCGCACAGAGGAGAACCGCUCUUUGAACCAGCAUAUAUGCCCAUUCUCUUUCCAUCAUCAGACCUAGCCAUGGAAGAAGGAAGGAAAAGGAAGGAAGAAGAUGGUUGGGAAUAGGAAUUCUCCACAAAGGCAGCUGCGGGAAGAGCAUUGAGCUCCCAAAAAUUCCUGAUUUUGUGAGAUUGGG